GAAGGUGGCCUGUGAGGGUUGCUGGAGGUAUCAGAAGUGCGAAUGCUGACAUAAGUAACGAUAAAGCGGGUGAAAAGCCCGCUCGCCGGAAGACCAAGGGUUCCUGUCCAACGUUAAUCGGGGCAGGGUGAGUCGACCCCUAAGGCGAGGCCGAAAGGCGUAGUCGAUGGGAAACGGGUUAAUAUUCCCGUACUUGGUGUUACUGCGAAGGGGGGACGGAGAAGGCUAUGUUGGCCGGGCGACGGUUGUCCCGGUUUAAGCGUGUAGGUGUGUGUUCCAGGUAAAUCCGGUUCACUUUAACACUGAGGCGUGAUGACGAGGCACUACGGUGCUGAAGCAACAAAUGCCCUGCUUCCAGGAAAAGCCUCUAAGCAUCAGGUAACAUCAAAUCGUACCCCAAACCGACACAGGUGGUCAGGUAGAGAAUACCAAGGCGCUUGAGAGAACUCGGGUGAAGGAACUAGGCAAAAUGGUGCCGUAACUUCGGGAGAAGGCACGCUGACACGUAGGUGAAGUGAUUUACUCAUGGAGCUGAAGUCAGUCGAAGAUACCAGCUGGCUGCAACUGUUUAUUAAAAACACAGCACUGUGCAAACACGAAAGUGGACGUAUACGGUGUGACGCCUGCCCGGUGCCGGAAGGUUAAUUGAUGGGGUCAGCGCAAGCGAAGCUCCUGAUCGAAGCCCCGGUAAACGGCGGCCGUAACUAUAACGGUCCUAAGGUAGCGAAAUUCCUUGUCGGGUAAGUUCCGACCUGCACGAAUGGCGUAAUGAUGGCCAGGCUGUCUCCACCCGAGACUCAGUGAAAUUGAACUCGCUGUGAAGAUGCAGUGUACCCGCGGCAAGACGGAAAGACCCCGUGAACCUUUACUAUAGCUUGACACUGAACAUUGAGCCUUGAUGUGUAGGAUAGGUGGGAGGCUUUGAAGCGUGGACGCCAGUCUGCAUGGAGCCGACCUUGAAAUACCACCCUUUAAUGUUUGAUGUUCUAACGUGGACCCGUAAUCCGGGUUGCGGACAGUGUCUGGUGGGUAGUUUGACUGGGGCGGUCUCCUCCUAAAGAGUAACGGAGGAGCACGAAGGUUGGCUAAUCCUGGUCGGACAUCAGGAGGUUAGUGCAAUGGCAUAAGCCAGCUUGACUGCGAGCGUGACGGCGCGAGCAGGUGCGAAAGCAGGUCAUAGUGAUCCGGUGGUUCUGAAUGGAAGGGCCAUCGCUCAACGGAUAAAAGGUACUCCGGGGAUAACAGGCUGAUACCGCCCAAGAGUUCAUAUCGACGGCGGUGUUUGGCACCUCGAUGUCGGCUCAUCACAUCCUGGGGCUGAAGUAGGUCCCAAGGGUAUGGCUGUUCGCCAUUUAAAGUGGUACGCGAGCUGGGUUUAGAACGUCGUGAGACAGUUCGGUCCCUAUCUGCCGUGGGCGCUGGAGAACUGAGGGGGGCUGCUCCUAGUACGAGAGGACCGGAGUGGACGCAUCACUGGUGUUCGGGUUGUCAUGCCAAUGGCACUGCCCGGUAGCUAAAUGCGGAAGAGAUAAGUGCUGAAAGCAUCUAAGCACGAAACUUGCCCCGAGAUGAGUUCUCCCUGAGACUUAGAGUCUCCUGAAGGAACGUUGAAGACGACGACGUUGAUAGGCCGGGUGUGUAAGCGCAGCGAUGCGUUGAGCUAACCGGUACUAAUGAACCGUGAGGCUUAACCUUACAACGCCGAAG
rnacentral:rRNA from 1 species